rnacentral:rRNA from 1 species
AUGAGGAAGGCGGCGGUGGCGGCGGUCGCGGCGGCGGCGGCGGUGGGGGUGGCGCUGCUGGCGCGGCGCCAGAUGCGGGAGGCCAAGCGGUGGGGCCGCGCCGACGCGGUGCUGCGGGGCCUCGAGGAGCGCUCCGCCGCGCCGCCGGCCCGGCUGCGCCAGGUGGCCGACGCCAUGGCCGUCGAGAUGCACGCCGGGCUCGCCUCCGAGGGCGGCAGCAAGCUCGGGAUGAUCAUCAGCUACGUCGACUCCCUCCCCUCGGGGCAAGAGAAGGGGCUAUUUUAUGCACUUGACCUUGGAGGGACAAAUUUUCGCGUUUUACGUGUUCAAUUAGGAGGCAAGGAAGGGCGAGUUGUGAAGCAAGAAUGUGAUGAGAUCUCAAUCCCGGCACACUUAAUGACUGGGACCUCGCAAGAACUAUUUGAUUUUAUUGCCGCUGCUUUGGCAAAAUUUGUUGCCUCAGAGGGUGAAGACUUUCAUCUUCUUGAGGGAAGGCAAAGAGAGCUUGGUUUUACUUUCUCUUUUCCAGUAAAGCAGUCUUCAAUUGCAUCCGGAACUCUUAUCAAGUGGACUAAGGGUUUUUCUAUUGAUGAAACGGUAGGCGCAGAUGUGGUGGCUGAAUUAAGCAGUGCUCUAGACCGUCAGGGGCUUGAUAUGAAAGUGACAGCACUGGUAAAUGAUACUAUAGGAACAUUGGCUGGGGGCAGAUAUGAUGACAAUGAUGUCGUUGCUGCUGUUAUUCUGGGUACAGGUACCAAUGCAGCAUACGUGGAACGUGCCAAUGCAAUUCCUAAAUGGCAUGGCCUCCUUCCCAAGUCAGGAGAUAUGGUAAUAAAUAUGGAAUGGGGGAACUUCAGAUCGUCCCAUCUUCCUUUGACUGAAUUUGAUCAAGCAUUAGAUGCAGAAAGCCUGAAUCCUGGUGAACAGAUUUAUGAAAAGCUGAUCUCUGGUAUGUAUUUGGGGGAAAUUGUAAGAAGAGUCUUGUUAAAGAUGACUGAAGAAGCUUCUCUUUUUGGUGAUGAUAUACCACCAAAACUAAAGAUCCCAUUUAUUCUUAGGACGCCACAUAUGUCAAUGAUGCACCAUGACACGUCACCUGAUCUCAGAACAGUUGGAGCCAAACUGAAAGAUGUCCUAGGGAUCCAGGGCACCUCACUUAAAACGAGACGGCUAGUUGUGGACGUAUGCGACAUCGUUGCAAAGCGUGGGGCGCGCCUUGCUGCUGCAGGGAUACACGGGGUCCUCAAAAAGCUUGGACGGGACAUCCCCGGCAGCGACAAGCACAGGACGGUUAUUGCCAUGGACGGUGGGCUCUACGAGCACUACACAAUCUUCAGCGAAACCCUGGAGAACACCCUGCGCGAGAUGCUAGGGGAGGAAGUAUCCUCCUCCGUUGUCAUCAAGCUCGCGAACGACGGGUCAGGUAUCGGGGCCGCUCUCCUCGCUGCAGCUCAUUCUCAGUACCUCGAGGCCGAGGUCUGA